rnacentral:rRNA from 1 species
GCGAGUGAAGCGGCAAGAGCUCAGAUUUGAAAUCGUGCUUUGCGGCACGAGUUGUAGAUUGCAGGUUGGAGUCUGUGUGGAAGGCGGUGUCCAAGUCCCUUGGAACAGGGCGCCCAGGAGGGGAGAGCCCCGUGGGAUGCCGGCGGAAGCAGUGAGGCCCUUCUGACGAGUCGAGUUGUUUGGGAAUGCAGCUCCAAGCGGGUGGUAAAUUCCAUCUAAGGCUAAAUACUGGCGAGAGACCGAUAGCGAACAAGUACUGUGAAGGAAAGAUGAAAAGCACUUUGAAAAGAGAGUGAAACAGCACGUGAAAUUGUUGAAAGGGAAGGGUAUUGCGCCCGACAUGGGGAUUGCGCACCGCUGCCUCUCGUGGGCGGCGCUCUGGGCUUUCCCUGGGCCAGCAUCGGUUCUUGCUGCAGGAGAAGGGGUUCUGGAACGUGGCUCUUCGGAGUGUUAUAGCCAGGGCCAGAUGCUGCGUGCGGGGACCGAGGACUGCGGCCGUGUAGGUCACGGAUGCUGGCAGAACGGCGC